rnacentral:tRNA from 1 species
UCCCUGGUGGCUCAGUGGUAGAGUAUCUGCCUGCAAUGCAGGAGACCCAGGUUCAAUCCAUGAGUUGAGAA